rnacentral:rRNA from 1 species
UACAGAGGGUGCGAGCGUUAAUCGGAAUUACUGGGCGUAAAGCGCACGUAGGCGGCUUGGUAUGUCGGGUGUGAAAUCGCCCGGCUCAACUGGGCGGGGUCAGCGGAUACGGUGUGGCUCGAGCAAGCUAGGGGGCAAUGGAAUUCCCGGUGUAGUGGUGGAAUGCGUAGAUAUCGGGAGGAACACCAGUGGCGAAGGCGGUUGCCUGGAGCUUUGCUGACGCUGAGGCGCGAAAGCGUGGGGAGCGAUCCGG